CCUACGGGGAGCAGCAGGAGGGAAUAUUGCUCAAUGGGGGAAACCCUGAAGCAGCAACGCCGCGUGGAGGAUGAAGGUUUUCGGAUGGUAAACUCCUUUUGUUAGAGAAGAGAAUGACGGUAUCUAACGAAUAAGCACCGGCUAACGCCGUGCCAGCAGCCGCGGUAAUACGGAGGGUGCAAGCGUUACUCGGAAUCACUGGGCGUAAAGAGCGCGUAGGCGGGAUAGCAAGUCAGAUGUGAAAUCCUAUGGCUUAACCAUAGAACUGCAUUUGAAACUGUUAUUCUAGAGUAUGGGAGAGUUCGGUGGUCUUCUUGGUGUAGUGGUCCACUCCG
rnacentral:rRNA from 1 species